rnacentral:rRNA from 1 species
UACAUGGGGUGCAAACGUUGCUCGGAAUCAUUGGGCGUAAAGCGCGCGUAGGCGGUUACUUAAGUCGAAUGUGAAAGCCCUCGGCUUAACCGAGGAAGUGCAUCCGAAACUGAGUAGCUAGAGUACGAAAGAGGGUCGCGGAAUUCCUAGUGUAGAGGUGAAAUUCGUAGAUAUUAGGAAGAACACCAGUGGCGAAGGCGGCUCACUGGCCCGGUACUGACGCUGAGGCGCGAAAGCGUGGGGAGCAAACAGG